AGUGAACGCUGGCGGUAGGCCUAACACAUGCAAGUCGAACGGCAGCACAGAGGAGCUUGCUCCUUGGGUGGCGAGUGGCGGACGGGUGAGGAAUACAUCGGAAUCUACUCUGUCGUGGGGGAUAACGUAGGGAAACUUACGCUAAUACCGCAUACGACCUACGGGUGAAAGCAGGGGAUCUUCGGACCUUGCGCGAUUGAACGAGCCGAUGUCGGAUUAGCUAGUUGGCGGGGUAAAGGCCCACCAAGGCGACGAUCCGUAGCUGGUCUGAGAGGAUGAUCAGCCACACUGGAACUGAGACACGGUCCAGACUCCUACGGGAGGCAGCAGUGGGGAAUAUUGGACAAUGGGCGCAAGCCUGAUCCAGCCAUACCGCGUGGGUGAAGAAGGCCUUCGGGUUGUAAAGCCCUUUUGUUGGGAAAGAAAUCCAUCUGGUUAAUACCCUGGGGUCAUGACGGUACCGUAAGAAUAAGCACCGGCUAACUACGUGCCAGCCGCCGCCGUAA
rnacentral:rRNA from 1 species